GGGGGUUAGCGUUGUUCGGAAUUACUGGGCGUAAAGCGCACGUAGGCGGAUUGGAAAGUUGGGGGUGAAAUCCCGGGGCUCAACCCCGGAACUGCCUCCAAAACUAUCAGUCUAGAGUUCGAGAGAGGUGAGUGGAAUUCCAAGUGUAGAGGUGAAAUUCGUAGAUAUUUGGAGGAACACCAGUGGCGAAGGCGGCUCACUGGCUCGAUACUGACGCUGAGGUGCGAAAGUGUGGGGAGCAAACAGGAUUAGAUACCCUGGUAGUCCACACCGUAAACGAUGAAUGCCAGUCGUCGGGCAGUAUACUGUUCGGUGACACACCUAACGGAUUAAGCAUUCCGCCUGGGGAGUACGGUCGCAAGAUUAAAACUCAAAUGAAUUGACGGGGACCCGCACAAGUAGUGGAGCAUGUGGUUUAAUUCGAAGAUACGCGCAGAACCUUACCAACACUUGACAUGUUCGUCGCGACUCUAAGAGAUUAGAGUUUUCGGUUCGGCCGGACGAAACACAGGUGCUGCAUGGCU
rnacentral:rRNA from 1 species